UCAUGCUUUGUCUCUCUCUGUCUCAAAAAUAAAUAAACGUUAAAAAAAAAAUUAAAAAAAAAAAAAAGAACUGCAUCAUUCUCUUUGAUCACCUGCCUUGUGUCUCUUAUUGAGGGACAUUUAGGUUUUUGCCACAGACGGAUAAUGAAAAGUGGUUCAGAGAGCAUUCUGCAUACUUAGAGUGGAUUUACAUAGUGAAGUAUUAGAAAUGGAAAAGCUGGGUCAAAGGGCUAUUUAUUGUUUAUUUUUAAUGUAAAAAAUCGACUUUAGAGUUUUAAUUUAAAUUAUGGUUCGUUAACAUGCAGUGUAACCAUAAGUGUGCAAUACGGUGGUUCAACACUUACAUACACCACAACAGAAAUUAUUCAUAAAGCAUAACAUUUGCUUUUUUAAAAGGUAUAAUUCAGUGUUUUUUUUUUAGUACAGUCACAAGAUUGUGCACCCCUCCCCACUAUCUAAUUCCAAAAUAUUUUCAUUGCUACAAAGAGAAACCCUGUCCCCACUGUAUUUAAUUUUAAUUUUUAAUUUUGAUAGAUUUUGCCAAAUUGCUUCAUCAAAAUUUAAAACAAAAAACAAAAAACAUUUUUGGCCCACUUCUAGAACUGUGCCAGUUUCUAAGUUGCCUUUCCUUCCCCCUCCUCACAUACAACAGUAUCUCAUUGGUCUUAUCUGGGGAGGUUAAGUCCAAAUUCAGGAAAGACAAGGCAUACUCCCACCCCCCCACACCAUUCUGCUGCGUCCUGCAAAGAAACUGGAUCCCGGCAUGUUUCGCACACGGACAAAAGCCCCAAAAGUCCAGCUUGACUUCGUGGCCCUUUACAUUCUUUAGGGAAUGCGUGCAAUCUCUACAAGUGAACGCGGCCACUCUCCUAAUUCUGACAACACCAAUGGCAUUCUAGUGACCUCAAUGUUUUUACAAGGUCCUAAGAACCUAAAUGCUCCUGCCACCGGAAAAUCAAGGAAGGAACAGGCCUUCCCCGUGUUUGUUCUCAAACCCAUGCACCAACCCCAGACCGGGUUGUUUGUCCUUGGCUCACAGUUACCGGUGCCAACAGUGUCAGCGACAGGACCCCAGAUAAGACUUGCUUGGCAUAAGGCCCCCUCCUCCCACCACCUGCCAGCCCCUGCUUAUCUGGGAAACCGACCCUGAGCUGCUACCCAGAGUCCGCUGCGUGGCCUCCAGCCCCACGCAGAGCCACACCAGCUAAACAACACUGGGAGCACAAUGCUUUCUUCCCCCUUUCUUCCUUUUCCUCAUGCGUUUUUAUGAACAUCCACAGGGAUGAUAAUUAAAACCUGCAAGGAAACCAGCUGGCAGCGCAAAAGAAAAUCUUGGUGACUUGGGGACGACGCCACAUGUUUAUGGGUGAGUUUUGUAAGCAACAGGCCUAUAAAAAAAGGAGGCUCUUAUAAAUAAAUGCCACAUUCUUCAAAGCUCUGUAUAAACUACAUUCUUUUUAGGGAGGGAGGGGGAGCUACUGGCAUAUUCAUGUUCCUUCCUCGUCAUUUCAAUUCCAACGAGGGGAAAGGAAUCCUAAUUGUACCAUUUCCUAGGAGCACAGCAGUGAUGUCGCCGAGGCUCUGCCCCGGUGUGUGCACGGGUGUAGGUGCACACACACUCAGAAGAGGGACAACAAGGGAAGAGGAAGAGGCACAGGAGGGUCUUUAUUUAGCAAAGCGGAACAGAACAAAGGCGUGGGAGAGUGGCACCGCGUCACCUCUGAUUGGGUUUUCUGGCUACUAAGCGCAUAGACCUUAACUCGAAAGACAGAACUUCUGCCUUCCUCUCCCGAGUGCUGAGUGUUGUCUGAACGGCAUCAAGAUUUGGGGGAGCCAGUGUAAUCCCCUUUCAUUUUUCAUCUGCCUUGCUGACUGCAAAGAGAAACAGGGCCGCUCGCCUCUCCGCGUGUGACACCGGGCUUGAGGCACGCACAUUCCAGAGUGGCCUUCCCCAGGAGCCAGCUGUGUGCAGGAGGAGAAACGUGCACGCUGCAGGCAUCUGUCACCAAGGCCAUGCCAACUCCCCAGUGGGGCAACUGUACAGACAACCUCAGAAUGAGAUUUUAGAAAUGAUGGGAUUCUCCAAGAAGAAAAGAAGUCCUUCUGGAAGAAAAGGCAGAGCAAGCCUAAAAAAGCA